AAGGAAGGAAGUGGCGGAAGGAAGUGGCGGAAGGAAGUGGCGGAAGGAAGGAAGGAAGUGGCGGAAGGAAGGAAGGAAGUGGCGGAAGGAAGUGGCGGAAGGAAGUGGCGGAAGGAAGUGGCGGAAGGAAGUGGCGGAAGGAAGUGGCGGAAGGAAGUGGCGGAAGGAAGUGGCGGAAGGAAGGAAGGAAGGAAGGAAGGAAGGAAGGAAGGAAGGAAGGAAGGAAGGAAGGAAGGAAGGAAGGAAGGAAGGAAGGAAGGAAGGAAGGAAGGAAGGAAGGAAGGAAGGAAGGAAGGAAGGAAGGAAGGAAGGAAGGAAGGAUACAGAUCUGAGACAAUCCAGAUCAAACUAAUUCUCAUUUAUCUUUAAAUUUUUCAGUGGCUCUCAAAACACUAAAGGAUAAACUGAAUGCCAGUUAAAUGCUGCUGAUUGUCAAAAGUAAAAUAUCAAUAAAAUUUCUUGAAUAAAAGAAGCAUGGAAUUCCUUCAUCAACGCAGCUAAGAAAGCUAAAAAAUAAGUCUAUAUAAUUGGAAAUUUUUAUUCUAGUUUUCGUGAUUGCUGAUUAUUGAAGGAAAGGAAUUCCAAAUUCUCUCAAAUAACCUCAUGGGACUUUCUCUCCUCACCUGUUCACCUGUCUCGUGCUAUUCCAAAGUCAAGACAAAGCUGAAUAAAUUAAUCACUGCUUGAAGAUGGCUGGCAGCAACAGAAAUUCAGGCAGCAAGAUUCAUUUAACACGUUGAUCCAUAAUAGCAAUGCAGACUGAGUCAUGCUGACUAUUAUAUUACAUCGAAAAUUCAAUUAUCUGUUUGGUUCCUUGCUGUUUUCCCAGCAUAAAUGAACAUGUCUGUAUCUAUACAUACAUAUGUAUCAAUGUAUAUAAUAUCUAUAUGUCUGCUCAUAUACCUAUAUUUUCACUUACAGACAUGUAUGCACUGAUAUAGAGUAGCCUAAUACAUGUAUUGAUAUAUAAAUGUAUACCUCUAGAUAAUAACUAUAACAAAAAAAUGGUUUUGCUCCAAAUAUGAAGGAGAUUGUCUCUAUGUUUAUACCUAGAUACAUACAUCUGCAGGCAGAAGAAUCACUAAAAGUAUUGUGCAUGGCUUGCUAUUCAUUUAAGAGGAUACUCAGUGCCCCUGAAUCUGCUGCAAAAAGGCUGCUAUUCCAAGCAGCCUUUAGGGGAACUUCUAGGAUCACUAAAUGUUGAUAUAUUUUUUAGAAGGGGGCAUACUGUUGGUGUUAUUUUUUUCAGUUCUUUUGUUGAAAGGUAGAGACUUAAUUUCUAAAUUGAUUUGAAUAUUUAUUUCUUUUUUCAGUUUAGACAAUGGACUAGAAAAUCAGAACACUAACAAAUUUAUGAUAAAUAUGAAUUCCUUGAAAAUCUAAAACUAUCACAUUUUGGAGACUAGUCACAAGUAGAUAAAAAUAAACCUGCUGUGUUUAGAAAACCUCUGUCAGAAUACACAAAAAUAAAUUUAAGGGAUCAAGAAUGUUAUUGAGAACAAGGUCCCACCCUGAGUAAUAAGAUUCAGGUACAAUUCUUUGUUUAAUCUUUUAGGAGCACUUCUCCUGACUCCAAAGCCUAGAUUUACUUUAAAUGUUGGCAAAAAUCCAGCUUUAGUAUUUAAAAAGCCUUUUAAACUAAGAAAGUAAAAGGCAUUUACCUUAAAACAUAUUUAGUAGAGUUUAUUUUUCAUUUAUACUUAACUGUAGUUCGGGUCUAUGAAUGUGUUCUCUAUGGAUUGUUACAGUAAAAUUUUAUGUUCACUUAUUUACUUUCAUCAGGU